UGAAUCUGUCGCAACUGGCGAACAGGUGGGAUGACCACCGGGGAGCGAAAUAGGGUUGUCGCGGUCGCCCGCCUGGGCCACGCAA
rnacentral:ncRNA from 2 species